UACGAAGGGGGCUAGCGUUGCUCGGAAUCACUGGGCGUAAAGCGCACGUAGGCGGCUUCUUAAGUCAGGGGUGAAAUCCUGGAGCUCAACUCCAGGAACUGCCUUUGAUACUGAGGAGCUUGAGUCCGGGAGAGGUGAGUGGAACUGCGAGUGUAGAGGUGAAAUUCGUAGAUAUUCGCAAAGAACACCAGUGGCGAAGGCGGCUCACUGGCCCGGUACUGACGCUGAGG
rnacentral:rRNA from 1 species